ACGGGUGAGUAACGCGUGGGAAUCUACCGUGCCCUGCGGAAUAGCUCCGGGAAACUGGAAUUAAAACCGCAUACGCCCUACGGGGGAAAGAUUUAUCGGGGUAUGAUGAGCCCGCGUUGGAUUAGCUAGUUGGUGGGGUAAAGGCCUACCAAGGCGACGAUCCAUAGCUGGUCUGAGAGGAUGAUCAGCCACAUUGGGACUGAGACACGGCCCAAACUCCUACGGGAGGCAGCAGUGGGGAAUAUUGGACAAUGGGCGCAAGCCUGAUCCAGCCAUGCCGCGUGCGUGAUGAAGGCCUUAGGGUUGUAAAGCUCUUUCACCGGAGAAGAUAAUGACGGUAUCCGGAGAAGAAGCCCCGGCUAACUUCGUGCCAGCAGCCGCGGUAAUACGAAGGGGGCUAGCGUUGUUCGGAAUUACUGGGCGUAAAGCGCACGUAGGCGGAUAUUUAAGUCAGGGGUGAAAUCCCAGAGCUCAACUCUGGAACUGCCUUUGAUACUGGGUAUCUUGAGUAUGGAAGAGGUAAGUGGAAUUGCGAGUGUAGAGGUGAAAUUCGUAGA
rnacentral:rRNA from 1 species